GCUGACUAGGGGCACGGAGCGGAGGUAAAAGGAGGGGUGCAAACUUGUAUCGGAAUUCCUGGGCGUAAAGUGCGCGUAGGUGGUUCGUGAAGUUGGAGGCGAAAGCCCCGGGCUCAACCUGGGAACGGCAUCCAAAACUGGCGAGCUAGAGUACGGUAGAGGGUGGUGGAAUGUCCUGUGUAGCGGUGAAAUGCGUAGAUAUAGGAAGUAACACCAGUGGCGAAGGCGACCACCUGGACUGAUACUGACACUGAGGUGCGAAAGCGUGGGGAGCAAACAGGAUUAGAUACCCUUGUAGUC
rnacentral:rRNA from 1 species